AGUGAACGCUGGCGGUAGGCCUAACACAUGCAAGUCGAACGGCAGCACAGUAAGAGCUUGCUCUUACGGGUGGCGAGUGGCGGACGGGUGAGGAAUACAUCGGAAUCUACUUUUUCGGGGGGGAUAACGUAGGGAAACUUACGCUAAUACCGCAUACGACCUACGGGUGAAAGCAGGGGAUCUUCGGACCUUGCGCGAUUGAAUGAGCCGAUGUCGGAUUAGCUAGUUGGCGGGGUAAAGGCCCACCAAGGCGACGAUCCGUAGCUGGUCUAAGAGGAUGAUAAGCCACACUGGAACUGAGACACGGUCCAGACUCCUACGGGAGGCAGCAGUGGGGAAUAUUGGACAAUGGGCGCAAGCCUGAUCCAGCCAUACCGCGUGGGUGAAGAAGGCCUUCGGGUUGUAAAGCCCUUUUGUUGGGAAAGAAAAGCAGCAGGUUAAUACCCCGCUGUUCUGACGGUACCCAAAGAAUAAGCACCGGCUAACUUCGUG
rnacentral:rRNA from 1 species